CAUCUUACCUGCGCCUAAGAUGAGGAGCAACAUGGAUACAAAACAAGUUGCACAAAGGUCCUCUCUCGAAGCGCUUCAAAGGAGGAGUCCGAAACGGGAAAAAAGUGACAAAAAAUUAAGUAGGAGCAUCAAAAAGAUAAGAGCUGACAUGGUUGAGAUUAGCGAGGGUCAAAAA